GAAGAAGAAGAAGAAGAAGAAGAAGACAUGGUGCAAUCAAGUCUAUCCACUGAGGUGAGGCCCUGCGCGCAAACCUGCAAACUGUAAGGGAGUGGCAGAUGUAGCAACAGAAGGACUUCAGUUCACCUGUGCUGUAAAGAAAGCCGACACAGGAGUCAGAUCCUGACUUCCCACCCAAAUCCACAAGUCAUCUUGAAAAACCCCACUGUUUUUAAGUCUCAUUUCUCAAGACUCUUCAGUCAACCUAUGGAAGUUGGUUAAAAGAGGAAGUGUUGGAGUCAAUAUCGUAUCUACUUUUCAGUUGCCCAGUGCCAUCCUCCUUCACCACCAGCAGCUGCCUCAUGAGUGGCACAGGACCCCACAAAUCACCAGCCCAUUCUCCUGGAUCAUCCUUCUCCCUACCUGUCUCCUCUGCCCACACAUCCCUCCACUUUUCGGGCUCCUCGCGGUCCCUGACAACUCCUACAGUUGAUGAAGGCACAAGUAGUCUCUAUGGCAAGGACUACUUGGACAAGGACAACUUAGCAUGAUGGCCCAUGCAUUGGUUACUUCACAGCUGGAAUCCUGCAACAUGCUCUGUUUGGGUGGCCCUUGAAUUCAGUUCAGAAGCUGCAGCUUCUGUGGAAUGCAGCAGCUAGACUGGCAAGUAUAUAACACCUGUUUUAAAGGAACGGCAAAUCUAUCAAUUUCAGAUUCUUUCCAUUUCUCAUUUUUCCAGUCUCACGUUCAGUUCUCCACAUUUGCAUGUCAGCUAGAAAAUCUGUUUUAGUUUGCAAAAUUAGAUGUUGGAAGCUGGAGACACAGAGCCUUGUCUUGCUUUGUGGUGGACCCAGAGCUGUGGCUUCUCUGAAAACAAUGGGGGAAGCAAGUUCUGUUGGGGUGUUAAUGCUGCGAGCCCCUCGAUCCUAUGCUCAGGUGGCAGAUAUGUGUAAAUUAAGCCCUAUAUCUCAAAGACACCAAAGUCUCCACUGACAUUUGCUCCAAAGAUACUGAGCACUAGGUGAGCGCACCCGCCCCCAGAGUCUCUUGCUGCUCGGAGAUUGGGGUACACACAAGAAAAUUAACCAUGAGUUAACUAUCAGAUACAUUAAAGCACCCUCUUUGUCUGCCAUGUAAGGCACUGCAGUGCUUUCACAUCAAAAAAGGUGUUUUCAAAGCCUGUGAACACUUUGAGGACAGAUGGUUCGGCACCAGUUUGAGCAGAACUGGCUGCUAUGCUUUGUCCCUUUAAACCUGUCCGUGGCUGUAACCUGAGAAGCCCAGCAGUGCUGCUAGGAUCAGUUAUUAGUAAGUGCACAAGCUGUUACCGAGUGUGAAGCAGGCGCUUGGAGCCCAGCCAGUAAUAUAGUGUUGGACUUGUUCCUCCAAGUGUGCCAUAGAUUUAUUUCCCUCAAGACGGUCCACGUGCUCUGCUGGACUUGACAGAAACUGUAAUAGAAAAUGACCAGCAGAAUGCAAGGUAUCCAAUAUCUCCCCAGGUUUCCCUGAGGAGAGUUUGCUGCAACUGUUGCUCUGCCAAAGACAACAGAACUGGGAUUCUCAACUGUUUUCUAGCAGGGAUACCUCAAGCACUUGAACGAACCUGGGAGUGUCUCUGUAGUUUUUGAACUUGUUGGGAUUGUGUUGAUUAGAAAGGGAUGCUUAGGCAUAGCCUGCCACUUGUUGCUUCAGUAGAUGCAGGAAAAUCACUCAGUCCUUUGUGGUGACAUCCUGUAAGUGUUGCAUUAGCACAAGGGGAGGUCAAUUCAGUCCUCCAAACACAGCAGUCCGCAGUCUCCUGAGACAGACAGAUGGCAAGAACAACAACAAUGGGAGUCCUUUUUUCCUGUGGGUUCCCCCCAUGACGCUGCUAUAAUGUUUAAAGGCCUGCAGCCACAUGGACAGGGACUUUUUAGUUUAGAGGAAAGGCAAGUGAGAGGUGGCAAGUUAGGAGUUGAUGGAAUUAUGCAUGGCAUGGAGAAAGUGGAUGGAGAAAAGUGCUUCUUCAUCUCUCAGAACACUUGAACCCAUGGACCUCUAACAGAGCUGAAUCUACUUCUUCACAUGCUUCUAUGGCAUCCUCUCUCUCAGGAUCUGGUGAUGGGCACCGACUUGGAUGGGUUUAGAAGAGGAUUCAGCAAAUUUGUGGAUAAGACUAUCAAUGGCUACUCGUCACGAUGGCUAUGCUCUGCCUCCAGGACCAGUCCACUCAUAAGGCAAGGUGAGGUGGUUGCCUCAGGUGGCAGGAUUCACUGGGGCAGCAGAGCCCAAUGUAGAUCUUUCUUCACAGCCAGUCCACUCAUGGGGGAAGGUGAGGCGGUUGCCUCAGGUGGCAGGAUUCACUGGGGCAGCAGAUCUUGAUGUCAAUCUUUCUUCCCCUCCUUGUU